rnacentral:tmRNA from 1 species
GGGGGCGAAAUGGCUUCGACGGGGUUAGAGAAGCAUGGGUUGCAUACCGAGCGCCUGCCGGCUCGUAAAAAAGGUGGGACUUAAAAUAAUCGCAGACGAUUAUAACUACGCCUUAGCCGCUUAACACCGGCUAACGUCCUUCCGGAUCGUUCCUGCGGACCUGGAAAGGGCGUCGAUUAGCAGGAUAUGCCUCUAUCGAUUGCUUGUUACGUAUGAGGCGAAAUUUAUAACAAGAUAACACCUUAAGCAUCCUGCCUGGAGGAGCCUUGAGGUGUGAAAUUUAAAAUUCAGGAUAUGUAUGUAGAAGCCUAUGCGGACUAUCUUCGGACGCGGGUUCGACUCCCGCCGCCUCCACCA